AUCUCUUUAGUUUUAAGUAACACCAUAGCAGUAACACAACGCUUAAUCUGGAAAAUUAUAUAAUCUAUGAUGAGAAAACGAAUCGUGUUUGAUGUGCUUGCUUAAUCUGAAAAAUUAUACAGCUCGCUGCUUUGUGCUCUGUAUUCAAAGUUGUUAUAGUUUGCUCAAAGUAGAGUUUAGUCUGUUUCGUCUUGAUACUCUGGCACUAACUUAUUUGAUUGCAUGUCUUGUACCUGAUGAUUGUGUCUUCACUAUUUCAUUAUCGAUGGAAAGACCACUGUUUGCGCUUGUGCCCUUAAUUUGACAAAGCGCAUUUUAUGUUCAUCUAAGCAGAAGAGUCUGAACUUCAGUUUGUUCCUGGAAGCUUUGAAUCUGUGAGUACAUUAGAGUUUUUGAGCUUUUGCUUUUUGAGGAAUGCAGAGCUCAGCUAUACAGUUCCUAUGAGGAGUCUCUUGUGGCUGUAUCAAGGGAUGCACAUGUAAUGGUGUGCGUUGGAACCGUGGAUAGGCAUGAUUGCAUGAAAGACAUACACUUUUUUAUGGAUGGCAUGCUCUGUAGUAAACAUAAUAAGAAAUGGCGCGCUCUCGUUCCCCGAUCCAAUUGCCUGACCAAAUUAUGGUUGAUGUGUUCAGGAUGGUAUGGUGUUGUUCUACCAGCACAUGGAUAUAACUAGAUUUUUAAAGGAUAGGUCGCAAUUUUGUCAUUCCCUCGGCCUGGUUCAGCAGCGAGACUAAUGUUCUGGGGAAACUGCAACCUCAAAGCACCUGGUAUCUAACUGGUCUUGGUUCUCUUGCAACAACACAAAGGGAGUAUGUAGCGUUGCAUGCAUUCCCCCAUCUUAAUGUGCAGGUGAUACUUAGCCAAGUCCAACGGAUGAGAUGGCAACACAGCGGAGGAGGCAACAUCAAAGACGGAGGAUCCUUCCUUCCCCGCGAUGACGACGAAGGGGCGAUGAGGAAGCAACAACGAUAACUUUCCUUAGACGAAGAAGCAGCCUGAAACAACCUGAAACACUUUUGGCUAACUCAGCGUGCUCAGUCAACAUCAUUACAAUGAAACCACCUUUAGUUCUUCCCAAAACUGCCGAGGGCCACAUUGAUCCAGUUUUUGUAUAAGUUCAAGGUGUAAAUGAUCCCGUCUUAGAGUUCAGGGGAUAUUGAUCCAUCAGAAGGGUUUUAAGGAGAAAACUAUACUUUCUUGAUUUUUUUUUGAGGAACUCUCUAUAAUCUAUCUAUAUCUACAUCUAUACUACUACUAUUUAAAAAGAACGUAAGGUUCACAUUUCA